GCGCCCGUCGUUGGGGAGUAGCCGAUUUUCCGCAGGUGGAAAAUGUACGUGUCAACAUACUCGUUGCAAAACGUGGCACGUACGGGUUGAGCGGUCGUUCAAUC
rnacentral:sRNA from 2 species